GAAAAUAGUUCCUACAAAGGUUUUGGACAGUGAUUUUAACCCUAACGCCUAAAACCUUAAACCUUACCCUAGCCCCAAAACCUAAUACCCGGGUAUUACCUUCAGGAAGCUUGAACACCCCAAAUAUUUUUUUUUCAUUUUACAUUUUUUUUUGGUGUUACCAACUCCAAAAGGUCUGAAACAUGUUCCUAAAAAGGUUUUGGACAGUGAUUUUAACUCUAACGCCAAAAACCUUAAACCUUACCCUAGCCCCAUAACCUCAUACCCGGGUAUUACCUUCAGGAAGCCCGAAGACCCCAAAUAUAUUUUUUUCUUUUUUCUUUUUUUUUGGUCUAACUAACUCCAAAAGGUCGGAAAAGAGUUCCCACAAGGGUUUUGGACGGUGAUUUUAACCCUAACACCAAAAACCUUAAACCUUACCCUAGCCCCAAAACCUAAUACCCGGGUAUUACCUUCAGGAAGCCCGAACACCCCAAAUUUUUUUUUCUUUUUUUUUUUUUUGUCUAACUAACUCCCAAAGGUCUGAAACAUGUUCCUUAAAAAAUAUUGGACAGUGAUUUUAACCCUAACGCCAAAAACCUUAAACCUAACACUAGCCCCAAAACCUAAUACCCGGGUAUUACCUUCAGGAAGCCCGAAAACCCCAAAUAUUUUUUUUCAUUUUUCGUUUUUUUUUUUGUCUAACUAACUCCAAAAGGUUGGAAAAUAGUUCCUACAAAGGUUUUGGACAGUGAUUUUAACCCUAACGCCAAAAACCUUAAACAUUACCCUAGCCCAGAAACCUAAUAUUACCUUCAGGAAGGCCGAACACCCAAAAAAAUUUUUUUUUCAUUUUACAUUUUUUUUGGUGUAACUAACUCCAAAAGGUCUGAAACAUGUUCCUUAAAAAAUAUUGGACAGUGAUUUUAACCCUUACCCCAAAAACCUUAAACCUAAUCCUAGCCCCAUAACCUAAUACUUAAACCUGAAGGGUAUUACCUUCAGGAAGCUUGAACACCCCAAAUAUUUUUUUUUCAUUUUACAUUUUUUUUUGGUGUUACCAACUCCAAAAGGUCUGAAACAUGUUCCUAAAAAGGUUUUGGACAGUGAUUUUAACUCUAACGCCAAAAACCUUAAACCUUACCCUAGCCCCAAAACCUAAUACCCGGGUAUUACCUUCAGGAAGCCCGAACACCCCAAAUAUUUUUUUUUUCAUUUUACUUUUUUUUUUGAUGUAACCAACUCCAAAAGGUCUUAGACAUGUUCCUAAAAAGGUUUUGGACAUUGAUUUUAACUCUAACGCCAAAAACCUUAAACCUUACCCUAGCCCCAUAACCUAAUACCCGGGUAUUACCUUCAGGAAACCCGAAGACCCCAAAUAUAUUUUUUUUCUUUUUCUUUUUUUUUUUGUCUAACUAACUCCCAAAGGUCUGAAACAUGUUCCUUAAAAAAUAUUGUACAGUUAUUUUAACCCUAACGCCAAAAACCUUAAACCUAACCCUAGCCCCUUUACCUAAUACCCGGGUAUUACCUUCAGGAAGCCCGAACACCCCAAAUAUUUUUUUUUCAUUUAUCUUUUUUUUUUGUCUAACUAAUUCCCAAAGGUUGGAAAAGAGUUCCUACAAAGGUUUUGGACAGUGAUUUUUACCCUCACGCCGAAAAACCUUAAACCUUACCCUAGCCCCAUAACCUCAUACCCGGGUAUUUCCUUCAGGAAGCCCGAAGACCCCAAAUAUAUUUUUUUCUUUUUUCUUUUUUUUUGGUCUAACUAACUCCAAAAGGUCGGAAAAGAGUUCCUACAAAGGUUUUGGACGGUGAUUUUAACCCUAACACCAAAAACCUUAAACCUUACCCUAGCCCCAAAACCUAAUACCCGGGUAUUACCUUCAGGAAGCCCGAACACCCCAAAUAUUUUUUUUUUCAUUUUACAUUUUUUUUGGUGUAACCAACUCCAAAAGGUCUUAAACAUGUUCCUAAAAAGGUUUUGGACACUGAUUUUAACUCUAACCCCAAAAACCUUAAACCUUACCCUAUCCCCAUAACCUAAUACCCGGGUAUUACCUUCAGGAAGCCCGAACACCCCAAAUUUUGUUUUCUUUUUUUUUUUUUUUUGUCUAACUAACUCCCAAAGGUCUGAAACAUGUUCCUUAAAAAAUAUUGGACAGUGAUUUUAACCCUAACGCCAAAAACCUUAAACCUUACCCUAGCCCCAUAACCUCAUACCCGGGUAUUUCCUUCAGGAAGCCCGAACACCCCAAAUAUAUUUUUUUUCAUUUUACAUUUUUUUUGGUGUAACCAACUCCAAAAGGUCUGAAACAUGUUCCUAAAAAGGUUUUGGACACUGAUUUUAACUCUAACCCCAAAAACCUUAAACCUUACCCUAGCCCCAUAACCUAAUACCCGGGUAUUACCUUCAGGAAGCCCGAACACCCCAAAUUUUUUUUUCUUUUUUUUUUUUUUUUGUCUAACUAACUCCCAAAGGUCUGAAACAUGUUCCUUAAAAAAUAUUGGACAGUGAUUUUAACCCUAACGCCAAAAACCUUAAACCUAACCCUAGCCCCAAAACCUAAUACCCGGGUAUUACCUUCAGGAAGCCCGAAAACCCCAAAUAUUUUUUUUCAUUUUUCGUUUUUUUUUUGGUCUAACUAACUCCAAAAGGUUUGUAAAAUAGUUCCUACAAAGGUUUUGGACAGUGAUUUUAACCCUAACGCCAAAAACCUUAAACCUUACCCUAGCCCCAAAAACUAAUACCCGUGUAUUACCUUCAGGAAGCUUGAACACCCCAAAUAUUUUUUUUUCAUUUUACAUUUUUUUUGGUGUAACCAACUCCAAAAGGUCUGAAACAUGUUCCUAAAAAGGUUUUGGACAGUGAUUUUAACCCUUACGCCAAAAACCUUAAACCUUACCCUAGCCCCAUAACCUAAUACCCGGGUAUUACCUUCAGGAAGCCCGAACACCCCAAAUAUUUUUUUUUCAUUUAUCUUUUUUUUUUUUGUCUAACGAACUCCAAAAGGUUGGAAAAGACUUCCUACAAAGGUUUUGGACAGUGAUUUUAACCCUCACGCCAAAAACCUUAAACCUUAACCUAGCCCCAUAACCUAAUACCCGGGUAUUACCUUCAGGAAGCCCGAACACCCCAAAUAUAUAUUUUUUCUUUUUCUUUUUUUUUUGGUCAAACUAGCUCCAAAAGGUCUGAAACAUGUUCCUUAAAAAAUAUUGGACAGUGAUUUUAACCCUUACGCCAAAAACCUUAAACCAAAUCCUAGCCCCAUAACCUAAUACUUAAACCUGAAGGGUAUUACCUUCAGGAAGCCCGAACACCCCAAAUAUAUUUUUUUUCAUUUUACAUUUUUUUUGGUGUAACCAACUCCAAAAGGUCUGAAUCUUGUUCCUUAAAAGGUUUUGGACAGUGAUUUUAACCCUAACGCCAAAAACCUUAAACCUUACCCUAGCCCCAAAACCUAAUACCUUCAGGAAGCCCGAAAACCCCAAAUAUUUUUUUUGUCAUUUUACAUUUUUUUUGGUGUAACUAACUCCAAAAGGUCUGAAACAUGUUCCUUAAAAAAUAUUGGACAGUGAUUUUAACCCUAAUGCCAAAAACCUUAAACCUAAUCCUAGCCCCAAAACCUAAUACCCGGGUAUUACCUUCAGGAAGCCCGAACACCCCAAAUAUUUUUUUUUCAUUUUUCUUUUUUUUUUGGUCUAACUAACUCCAAAAGGUUGGAAAAGAGUUCCUACAAAGGUUUUGGACAGUGAUUUUAACCCUAACGCCAAAAACCUUAAACCUUACCCUAGCCCCAUAACCUCAUACCCGGGUAUUUCCUUCAGGAAGCCCGAAGACCCCAAAUAUAUUUUUUUCUUUUUUCUUUUUUUUUGGUCUAACUAACUCCAAAAGGUCGAAAAAGAGUUCCUACAAAGGUUUUGGACGGUGAUUUUAACCCUAACACCAAAAACCUUAAACCUUACCCUAGCCCCAAAACCUAAUACCCGGGUAUUACCUUCAGGAAGCUUGAACACCCCAAAUAUAUUUUUUUUCAUUUUACAUUUUUUUUUGGUGUUACCAACUCCAAAAGGUCUGAAACAUGUUCCUACAAAGGUUUUGGACAGUGAUUUUAACCCUAACGCCAAAAACCUUUAACCUUACUAUAGCCCCAUGACCUAAUACCUGGGUAUUUUCUUCAGGAAGCCUGAAGACCUCAAAUAUUUUUUUUUUCAUUUUACAUUUUUUUUGGUGUAACCAACUCCAAAAGGUCUUAAACAUGUUCCUAAAAAGGUUUUGGACACUGAUUUUAACUCUAACGCCAAAAACCUUAAACCUUACCCUAGCCCCAUGACCUAAUACCCGGGUAUUACCUUCAGGAAGCCCAAGAACCCCAAAUACUUUUUUUUCAUUUUUCGUUUUUUUGUUGGUCUUAAUAACUCCAAAAGGUUGGAAAAAAGUUCCUACAAAGGUUUUGGACAGUGAUUUUAACCCUGACGCCAAAAACCUUAAACCUUACCCUAGCCCCAUAACCUCAUACCCAGGUAUUUCCUUCAGGAAGCCCGAAGACCCCAAAUAUAUUUUUUUCUUUUUUCUUUUUUUUUGGUCUAACUAACUCCAAAAGGUCGGAAAAGAGUUCCUACAAAGGUUUUGGACGGUGAUUUUAACCCUAACACCAAAAACCUUAAACCUUACCCUAGCCCCAAAACCUAAUACCCGGGUAUUACCUUCAGGAAGCUUGAACACCCCAAAUAUUUUUUUUUUCAUUUUACAUUUUUUUUUGGUGUUACCAACUCCAAAAGGUCAUAAACAUGUUCCUUAAAAGGUUUUGGACAGUGAUUUUAACCCUAACGCCAAAAACCUUAAACCUUACCCUAGCCCCAUAACCUAAUACCCGGGUAUUACCUUCAGGAAACCCGAAGACCCCAAAUAUUUUUUUUUUCUUUUUCUUUUUUUUUGUCUAACUAACUCCCAAAGGUCUGAAACAUGUUCAUUAAAAAAUUUUGGACAGUUAUUUUAACCCUAACGCCAGAAACCUUAAACCUAACCCUAGCCCCAAAACCUAAUACCCGGGUAUUACCUUCAGGAAGCCCGAACACCCCAAAUAUAUUUUUUUUAUUUUUCUUUAUUUUUGGUCUAACUUGCUCUCAAAGGUUGGAAAAGAGUUCCUACAAAGGUUUUGGACAUUGAUUUUAACCCUAACGCCAAAAACCUUAAACAUUUCCCUAGCCCAGAAACCUAGUAUUACCUUCAGGAAGCCCGAACACCCAAAAAAAAUUUUUUUUCACUUUACAUUUUUUUUGGUGUAACCAACUCCAAAAGGUUGGAAACAUGUUCCUACAAAGGUUUUGGACAGUGAUUUUAACCCUAACGCCAAAAACCUUUAACCUUACUAUAGCCCAAUAACCUAAUACCCGGGUAUUACCUUCAGGAAGCCCGAACACCCCAAAUAUUUUUUUUUCAUUUAUCUUUUUUUUUUUGUCUAACUAACUCCAAAAGGUUGGAAAAGACUUCCUACAAAGGUUUUGGACAGUGAUUUUUACCCUCACACCGAAAAACCUUAAACCUUACUCUAGCCCCAUAACCUAAUACCCGGGUAUUACCUUCAGGAAGCCCGAACACCCCAAAUAUAUAUUUUUUAUUUUUACAUUUUUUUUGGUGAAACCAACUCCAAAAGGUCUGAAACAUGUUCCUAAAAAGGUUUUGGACAGUGAUUUUAAACCUAAAGCCAAAAACCUUUAACCUUACCCUAGCCCCAUAACCUAAUACCCGGGUAAUACCUUCAGGAAGCCCAAAAACCCCAAAUAUUUUUUUUUCAUUUUUUGUUUUUUUUUGGUCUAACUAACUCCAAAAGGUUGGAAAAGAGUUCCUACAAAGGUUUUGGACAGUGAUUUUAACCCUAACGCCAAAAACCUCAAACCUUACCCUAGCCCCAUAACCUCAUACCCAGGUAUUUCCUUCAGGAAGCCCGAAGACCCCAAAUAUAUUUUUUUCUUUUUUCUUUUUUUUUGGUCUAACUAACUCCAAAAGGUCGGAAAAGAGUUCCUACAAAGGUUUUGGACAGUGAUUUUAACCCUAACACCAAAAACCUUAAACCUUACCCUAGCCCCAAAACCUAAUACCCGGGUAUUACCUUCAGGAAGCUUGAACACCCCGAAUAUAUUUUAUUUCAUUUUACAUUUUUUUUUGGUGUUACCAACUCCAAAAGGUCUGAAACAUGUUCCUACAAAGGUUUUGGACAGUGAUUUUAACCCUAACGCCAAAAACCUUUAAACCUUACUAUAGCCCCAUAACCUAAUACCCGGGUAUUACCUUCAGGAAGCCCGAACACCCCAAAUAUAUUUUUUUUCAUUUUACAUUUUUUUUGGUGUAACCAACUCCAAAAGGUCUGAAACAUGUUCCUAAAAAGGUUUUGGACAGUGAUUUUAACCCUAACGCCAAAAACCUUAAACCUUACCCUAGCCCCAUAACCUAAUACCCGGGUAUUACCUUCAGGAAGCCCGAACACCCCAAAUAUUUUUUUUUCAUUUAUCUUUUUUUUUUUGUCUAACUAAUUCCCAAAGGUUGGAAAAGAGUUCCUACAAAGGUUUUGGACAGUGAUUUUAACCCUCACGCCAAAAACCUUAAACCUUACCCUAGCCCCAUAACCUAAUACCCGGGUAUUACCUUCAGGAAGCCCGAACACCCCAAAUAUAUAUAUUUUAUUUUUCUUUUUUUUUUGGUCUAACUUGCUCUCAAAGGUUGGAAAAGAGUUCCUAUAAAAGUUUUGGACAUUGAUUUUAACCCUAACGCCAAAAACCUUAAACAUUUCCCUAGCCCAGAAACAUAGUAUUACCUUCAGGAAGCCCGAACACCCAAAAAAAAUUUUUUUUCAUUUUACAUUUUUUUUGGUGUAACCAACUCCAAAAGGUCUGAAACAUGUUCCUAAAAAGGUUUUGGACAGUGAUUUUAACCCUUACGCCAAAAACCUUAAACCUUACCCUAGCCCCAUAACCUCAUACCCGGGUAUUACCUUCAGGAAGCCCGAACACCCCAAAUAUUUUUUUUUCAUUUAUCUUUUUUUUUUUCUCUAACUAACUCCAAAAGGUUGGAAAAGACUUCCUACAAAGCUUUUGGACAUUGAUUUUAACCCCAAUGCCAAAAACCUUAAACAGUACCCUAGCCCAGAAACCUAGUAUUACCUUCAGGAAGCCCGAACACCCAAAAAAAAUUUUUUUUCAUUUUACAUUUUUUUUGGUGUAACCAACUCCAAAAGGUCUGAAACAUGUUCCAAAAAAGGUUUUGGACAGUGAUUUUAACCCUUACGCCAAAAACCUUAAACCUUACCCUAGCCCCAUAACCUCAUACCUGGGUAUUACCUUCAGGAAGCCCGAACACCCCAAAUAUAUUUUUUUUCAUUCAUCUUUUUUUUUUUGUCUAACUAACUCCAAAAGGUUGGAAAAGACUUCCUACAAAGGUUUUGGACAGUGAUUUUUACCCUCACACCGAAAAACCUUAAACCUUACCCUAGCCCCAUAACCUAAUACCCGGGUAUUACCUUCAGGAAGCCCGAACACCCCAAAUAUAUAUUUUUUAUUUUUACAUUUUUUUUGGUGAAACCAACUCCAAAAGGUCUGAAACAUGUUCCUAAAAAGGUUUUGGACAGUGAUUUUAAACCUAAAGCCAAAAACCUUUAACCUUACCCUAGCCCCAUAACCUAAUACCCGGGUAAUACCUUCAGGAAGCCCAAAAACCCCAAAUAUUUUUUUUUCAUUUUUUGUUUUUUUUUGGUCUAACUAACUCCAAAAGGUUGGAAAAGAGUUCCUACAAAGGUUUUGGACAGUGAUUUUAACCCUAACGCCAAAAACCUCAAACCUUACCCUAGCCCCAUAACCUCAUACCCAGGUAUUUCCUUCAGGAAGCCCGAAGACCCCAAAUAAAUUUUUUUCUUUUUUCUUUUUUUUUGGUCUAACUAACUCCAAAAGGUCGGAAAAGAGUUCCUACAAAGGUUUUGGACAGUGAUUUUAACCCUAACACCAAAAACCUUAAACCUUACCCUAGCCCCAAAACCUAAUACCCGGGUAUUACCUUCAGGAAGCUUGAACACCCCGAAUAUAUUUUAUUUCAUUUUACAUUUUUUUUUGGUGUUACCAACUCCAAAAGGUCUGAAACAUGUUCCUACAAAGGUUUUGGACAGUGAUUUUAACCCUAACGCCAAAAACCUUUAACCUUACUAUGGCCCAAUAACCUAAUACCCGGGUAUUACCUUCAGGAAGGCCGAACACCCCAAAUAUAUUUUUUUUUCAUUUUACAUUUUUUUUUUGGUGUAACCAACUCCAAAAGGUCUGAAACAUGUUCCUAAAAAGGUUUUGGACAGUGAUUUUAAACCUAACGCCAAAAACCUUAAACCUUACCCUAGCCCCAAAACCUAAUACCCGGGUAUUACCUUCAGGAAGCUUGAACACCCCAAAUAUUUUUUUUUCAUUUAUCUUUUUUUUUUUGUCUAACUAAUUCCCAAAGGUUGGAAAAGAGUUCCUACAAAGGUUUUGGACAGUGAUUUUUACCCUCACGCCGAAAAACCUUAAACCUUACCCUAGCCCCAUAACCUAAUACCCGGGUAUUACCUUCAGGAAGCCCGAACACCCCAAAUAUAUAUAUUUUAUUUUUCUUUUUGUUUUGGUCUAACUUGCUCUCAAAGGUUGGAAAAGAGUUCCUAUAAAAGUUUUGGACAUUGAUUUUAACCCUAACGCCAAAAACCUUAAACAUUUCCCUAGCCCAGAAACCUAGUAUUACCUUCAGGAAGCCCGAACACCCAAAAAAAAUUUUUUUUCAUUUUACAUUUUUUUUGGUGUAACCAACUCCAAAAGGUCUGAAACAUGUUCCUAAAAAGGUUUUGGACAGUGAUUUUAACCCUUACGCCAAAAACCUUAAACCUUACCCUAGCCCCAUAACCUCAUACCCGGGUAUUACCUUCAGGAAGCCCGAACACCCCAAAUAUUUUUUUUUCAUUUAUCUUUUUUUUUUUCUCUAACUAACUCCAAAAGGUUGGAAAAGACUUCCUACAAAGCUUUUGGACAUUGAUUUUAACCCUAAUGCCAAAAACCUUAAACAGUACCCUAGCCCAGAAACCUAGUAUUACCUUCAGGAAGCCCGAACACCCAAAAAAAAUUUUUUUUCAUUUUACAUUUUUUUUGGUGUAACCAACUCCAAAAGGUCUGAAACAUGUUCCAAAAAAGGUUUUGGACAGUGAUUUUAACCCUUACGCCAAAAACCUUAAACCUUACCCUAGCCCCAUAACCUCAUACCUGGGUAUUACCUUCAGGAAGCCCGAACACCCCAAAUAUUUUUUUUUCAUUCAUCUUUUUUUUUUUCUCUAACUAACUCCUAAAGGUUGGAAAAGACUUCCUACAAAGGUUUUGGACAGUGAUUUUAACCCUCACGCCAAAAACCUUAAACCUUAACCUAGCCCCAUAACCUAAUACCCGGGUAUUACCUUCAGGAAGCCCGAACACCCCAAAUAUAUAUUUUUUCUUUUUACAUUUUUUUUGGUGUAACCAACUCCAAAAGGUCUUAAACAUGUUCCUAAAAAGGUUUUGGACAGUGAUUUUAAACCUAACGCCAAAAACCUUAAACCUUACCCUAGCCCCAUAACCUAAUACCCGGGUAUUACCUUCAGGAAGCCCAAAAACCCCAAAUAUUUUUUUUUCUUUUUUCUUUUUUUUGGUCUAACUAACUCCAAAAGGUUGGAAAAGAGUUCCUACAAAGGUUUUGGACGGUGAUUUUAACCCUAACACCAAAAACCUUAAACCUUACCCUAGCCCCAAAACCUAAUACCCGGGUAUUACCUUCAGGAAGCUUGAACACCCCAAAUAUUUUUUUUUUCAUUUUACAUUUUUUUUUCGUGUUACCAACUCCAAAAGGUCUGAAACAUGUUCCUACAAAGGUUUUGGACAGUGAUUUUAACCCUAACGCCAAAAACCUUUAACCUUACUAUAGCCCCAUAAGCUAAUACCUGGGUAUUUCCUUCAGGAAGCCCGAAGACCCCAAAUAUAUUUUUUUUCAUUUUACAUCUUUUUUGGUGUAACCAACUCCAAAAGGUCUGAAACAUGUUCCUAAAAAGGUUUUGGACAGUGAUUUUAACCCUUACGCCAAAAACCUUAAACCUUACCCUAGCCCCAUAACCUAAUACCUGGGUAUUACCUUCAGGAAGCCCGAACACCCCAAAUAUUUUUUUUUUCAUUUAUCUUUGUUUUUUUGUCUAACUAACUCCAAAAGGUUGGAAAAGACUUCCUACAAAGGUUUUGGACAGUGAUUUUAACCCUCACGACAAAAACCUUAAACCUUAACCUAGCCCCAUAACCUAAUACCCGGGUAUUGCCUUCAGGAAGCCCGAACACCCCAAAUAUAUAUUUUUUCUUUUUCUUUUUUUUUUUUUGGUCAAACUAGCUCCAAAAGGUCUGAAACAUGUUCCUUAAAAAAUAUUGGACAGUGAUUUUAACCCUUACGCCAAAAACCUUAAACCUAAUCCUAGCCCCAUAACCUAAUACUUAAACCUGAAGGGUAUUACCUUCAGGAAGCCCGAACACCCCAAAUAUUUUUUUUUUCAUUUUACAUUUUUUUUGGUGUAACCAACUCCAAAAGAUCUAAAUCUUGUUCCUUAAAAGGUUUUGGACAGUGAUUUUAACCCUAACGCCAAAAACCUUAAACCUUACCCUAGCCCCAUAACCUAAUACCCGGGUAUUACCUUCAGGAAGCCCAAAAACCCCAAACAUUUUUUUUUCAUUUUUCUUUUUUUUUUGGUCUAACUAACUCCAAAAGGUUGGAAAAGAGUUCCUACAAAGGUUUUGGACAGUGAUUUUAACCCUAACACCAAAAACCUUAAACCUUACCCUAGCCCCAAAACCUAAUACCCGGGUAUUACCUUCAGGAAGCUUGAACACCCCAAAUAUUUUUUUUUUCAUUUUACAUUUUUUUUUGGUGUUACCAACUCCAAAAGGUCUGAAACAUGUUCCUACAAAGGUUUUGGACAGUGAUUUUAACCCUAACGCCAAAAACCUUUAACCUUACUAUAGCCCCAUAACCUAAUACCCGGGUAUUACCUUCAGGAAGCCCGAAGACCCCAAACAUUUUUUUUUUCAUUUUAAAUUUUUUUUGGUGUAACCAACUCCAAAAGGUCUUAAACAUGUUCCUAAAAAGGCUGUGGACACUGAUUUUAACUCUAACGCCAAAAACCUUAAACCUUACCCUAGCCCCAUAACCUAAUACCCGGGUAUUACCUUCAGGAAGCCCGAAAACCCCAAAUAUUUUUUUUUCAUUCAUUUCUUUUUUUUGGUCUAACUAACUCCAAAAGGUUGGAAAAUAGUUCCUACAAAGGUUUUGGACAGUGAUUUUAACCCUAACGCCAAAAACCUUUAACCUUACUAUAGCCCCAUAACCUAAUACCUGGGUAUUUCCUUCAGGAAGCCCGAAGACCCCAAAUAUUUUUUUUUUCAUUUUACAUUUUUUUUGGUGUAACCAACUCCAAAAGGUCUUAAACAUGUUCCUAAAAAGGUUUUGGACACUGAUUUUAACUCUAACGCCAAAAACCUUAAACCUUACCCUAGCCCCAUAACCUAAUACCCGGGUAUUACCUUCAGGAAGCCCAAAAACCCCAAAUAUUUUUUUUCAUUUUUCGUUUUUUUUUUUGGUCUAACUAACUCCAAAAGGUUGGAAAAUAGUUCCUACAAAGGUUUUGGACAGUGAUUUUAACUCUAACGCCAAAAACCUUAAACCUUACCCUAGCCCCAUAACCUAAUACCCGGGUAUUACCUUCAGGAAGCCCGAACACCCCAAAUAUAUAUUUUUUUCAUUUUACAUUUUUUUUUGGUGUAACCAACUCCAAAAGGUCUUAAACAUGUUCCUAAAAAGGUUUUGGACAGUGAUUUUAACCCUAACGCCAAAAACCUUAAACCUUACCCUAGCCCCAAAACCUAAUACCUUCAGGAAGCCCGAAAACCCCAAAUAUUUUUUUUUCAUUUUUCAUUUUUUUAUUGGUCUAACUAACUCCAAAAGGUUGGAAAAGACUUCCUACAAAGGUUUUGAACACUGAUUUUAACCCUCACGCCAAAAACCUUAAACCUUACCCUAGCCCCAUAACCUAAUACCCGGGUAUUACCUUCAGGAAGAUUGAACACCCCAAAUAUAUUUUUUUUUCAUUUUACAUUUUUUUUUUGGUGUUACCAACUCCAAAAGGUCUGAAACAUGUUCCUAAAAAGGUUUUGGACAGUGAUUUUAACCCUAACGCCAAAAACCUUAAACCUUACCCUAGCCCCAUAACCUCAUACCCGGGUAUUACCUUCAGGAAGCCCGAACACCCCAAAUAUUUUUUUUUCAUUUAUCUUUUUUUUUUUGUCUAACUAACUCCAAAAGGUUGGAAAAGAGUUCCUACAAAGGUUUUGGACAGUGAUUUUAACCCUAUCGCCAAAAACCUUAAAAGUUACCCUAGCCCCAAAACCUAAUACCCGGGUAUUACCUUCAGGAAGCCCGAACACCCCAAAUAAUUUUUUUUUAUUUUUCAUUUUUUGUGGUCUAACUAACUCCAAAAGGUUGGAAAAGAGUUCCUACAAAGGUUUUGGACAGUGAUUUUAACUCUAACGCCAAAAACCUUAAACCUUACCCUAGCCCCAUAACCUAAUACCCGGGUAUUACCUUCAGGAAGCCCGAAAACCCAAAAUAUUGUUUUUUCAUUUUUCGUUUUUUUUCUGGUCUAACUAACUCCAUAAGAAUGGUAAAGAGUUCCUACAAAGGUUUUGGACAGUGAUUUUAACCCUCACGCCAAAAACCUUAAACCUUACCUUAGCCCCAAAACCUAAUACCCGGGUAUUACCUUCAGGAAGCCCGAACACCCGAAAUAUAUAUUUUUAUUUUUCUUUAUUUUUGGUCUAACUUGCUCUCAAAGGUUGGAAAAGAGUUCCUACAAAGGUUUUGGACAUUGAUUUUAACCCUAACGCCAAAAACCUUAAACCUUACCCUAGCCCCAUAACCUAGUACCCGGGUAUUACCUUCAGGAAGCCCGAACACCCCAAAUAUUUUUUUUUCAUUUAUCUUUUUUUUUUUUGUCUAACUCCAAAAGGUUGGAAAAGACUUCCUACAAAAGACUAACUCCAAAAGGUUGGAAAAGACUUCCUACAAAGGUUAUACAAUGUAUUACCUUCAGGAAGCCCGAACACCAAAAAAAAAUUUUUUUUCAUUUUACAUUUUUUUUGGUGUAACCAACUCCAAAAGGUCUGAAACAUGUUCCUAAAAAGGUUUUGGACAGUGAUUUUAACCCUUACACCGUAAACCUUAAAGCUUACCCUAGCCCCAUAACCUAAUACCCGGGUAUUACCUUCAGGAAGCCCGAACACCAAAAAAAAUUUUUUUCAUUUUACAUUUUUUUUGGUGUAACCAACUCCAAAAGGUCUGAAACAUGUUCCUAAAAAGGUUUUGGACAGUGAUUUUAACCCUUACACCGUAAACCUUAAAGCUUACCCUAGCCCCAUAACCUAAUACCCGGGUAUUACCUUCAGGAAGCCCGAACACCCCAAAUAUUUUUUUUUCAUUUUCUUUUUUUUUUGUCUAACUAACUCCAAAAGGUUGGAAAAGACUUCCUACAAAGGUUUUGGACAGUGAUUUUAACCCUAACGCCAAAAACCUUAAACCUUACCUAGCCCCAUAACCUAAUACCCGGGUAUUACCUUCAGGAAGCCCGAACACCCCAAAUUAUAUAUUUUUUUUUCUUUUUUUUUUUUUUGUCAAACUAGCUCCAAAAAGUCUGAAACAUGUUCCUUAAAAAUAUUGGACAGUGAUUUUAACCCUAACGCCAAAAACAUUAAACCUAAUCCUAGCCCCAUAACCUAAUACUUAAACCUGAAGGGUAUUACCUUCAGGAAGCCCGAACACCCCAAAUAUUUUUUUUUUCAUUUUACAUUUUUUUUUGGUGUAACCAACUCCAAAAGGUCUGAAUCUUGUUCCUUAAAAGGUUUUGGACAGUGAUUUUAACCCUAACGCCAAAAACCUUAAACCUUACCCUAGCCCCAAAACCUAAUACCUUCAGGAAGCCCGAAAACCCCAAAUAUUUUUUUUUCUUUUUUCUUUUUUUUUUGGUCUAACUAACUCCAAAAGGUCUGAAACAUGUUCCUUAAAAAAUAUUGGACAGUGAUUUUAACCCUAACGCCAAAAACCUUAAACCUAAUCCUAGCCCCAAAACCUAAUACCCGGGUAUUACCUUCAGGAAGCCCGAACACCCCAAAUAUUUUUUUUUCAUUUUUCAUUUUUUUAUUGGUCUAACUAACUCCAAAAGGUUGGAAAAGACUUCCUACAAAGGUUUUGAACACUGAUUUUAACCCUCACGCCAAAAACCUUAAACCUUACCCUAGCCCCAUAACCUAAUACCCGGGUAUUACCUUCAGGAAGCUUGAACAACCCAAAUAUUUUUUUUUUUCAUUUUACAUUUUUUUUUGGUGUUACCAACUCCAAAAGGUCUGAAACAUGUUCCUAAAAAGGUUUUGGACAGUGAUUUUAACCCUGACGCCAAAAACCUUAAACCUUACCCUAGCCCAAUAACCUCAUACCCGGGUAUUACCUUCAGGAAGCCCGAACACCCCAAAUAUUUUUUUUUUCAUUUUACAUUUUUUUUUGGUGUAACCAACUCCAAAAGGUCUGAAUCUUGUUCCUUAAAAGGUUUUGGACAGUGAUUUUAACCCUAACGCCAAAAACCUUAAACCUUACCCUAGCCCCAAAACCUAAUACCUUCAGGAAGCCCGAAAACCCCAAAUAUUUUUUUUCUUUUUUCUUUUUUUUUGGUCUAACUAACUCCAAAAGGUCUGAAACAUGUUCCUUAAAAUAUUUUGGACAGUGAUUUUAACCCUUACGCCAAAAACCUUAAACCUAAUCCUAGCCCCAAAACCUAAUACCCGGGUAUUACCUUCAGGAAGCCCGAACACCCCAAAUAUUUUUUUUUCAUUUUUCAUUUUUUUAUUGGUCUAACUAACUCCAAAAGGUUGGAAAAGACUUCCUACAAAGGUUUUGAACACUGAUUUUAACCCUCACGCCAAAAACCUUAAACCUUACCCUAGCCCCAUAACCUAAUACCCGGGUAUUACCUUCAGGAAGAUUGAACACCCCAAAUAUAUUUUUUUUUCAUUUUACAUUUUUUUUUUGGUGUUACCAACUCCAAAAGGUCUGAAACAUGUUCCUAAAAAGGUUUUGGACAGUGAUUUUAACCCUAACGCCAAAAACCUUAAACAUUACCCUAGCCCCAUAACCUCAUACCCGGGUAUUACCUUCAGGAAGCCCGAACACCCCAAAUAUUUUUUUUUCAUUUAUCUUUUUUUUUUUGUAUAACUAACUCCAAAAGGUUGGAAAAGAGUUCCUACAAAGGUUUUGGACAGUGAUUUUAACCCUAUCGCCAAAAACCUUAAACCUUACCCUAGCCCCAAAACCUAAUACCCGGGUAUAACCUUCAGGAAGCCCGAAGACCCCAAACAAUUUUUUUUUAUUUUUCAUUUUUUGUGGUCUAACUAACUCCAAAAGGUUGGAAAAGAGUUCCUACAAAGGUUUUGGACAGUGAUUUUAACUCUAACGCCAAAAACCUUAAACCUUACCCUAGCCCCAUAACCUAAUACCCGGGUAUUACCUUCAGGAAGCCCGAAAAGCCCAAAUAUUGUUUUUUCAUUUUUCGUUUUUUUUUUGGUCUAACUAACUCCAAAAGGAUGGUAAAGUGUUCCUACAAAGGUUUUGGACAGUGAUUUUUACCCUCACGCCAAAAACCUUAAACCUUACCCUAGCCCCAUAACCUAAUACCCGGGUAUUACCUUCAGGAAGCCCGAACACCCCAAAUAUAUAUUUUUUUUUUUCUUUUUUUUUUGGUCUAACUUGCUCUCCAAAAGGUUGGAAAAGAGUUCCUACAAAGGUUUUGGACAUUGAUUUUAACCCUAACGCCAAAAACCUUAAACAUUACCCUAGCCCAGAAACCUAGUAUUACCUUCAGGAAGCCCGAACACCCAAAAAAAAAUUUUUUUCAUUUUACAUUUUUUUUGGUGUAACCAACUCCAAAAGGUCUGAAACAUGUUCCUAAAAAGGUUUUGGACACUGAUUUUAACCCUGACGCCAAAAACCUUAAACCUUACCCUAGCCCAAUAACCUCAUACCCGGGUAUUACCUUCAGGAAGCCCGAACACCCCAAAUAUAUUUUUUUUUCAUUUUACAUUUUUUUUUGGUGUAACCAACUCCAAAAGGUCUGAAUCUUGUUCCUUAAAAGGUUUUGGACAGUGAUUUUAACCCUAACGCCAAAAACCUUAAACCUUACCCUAGCCCCAAAACCUAAUACCUUCAAGGAAGCCCGAAAACCCCAAAUAUUUUUUUUUUUCUUUUUUCUUUUUUUUUGGUCUAACUAACUCCAAAAGGUCUGAAACAUGUUCCUUAAAAAAUAUUGGACAGUGAUUUUAACCCUUACGCCAAAAACCUUAAACCUAAUCCUAGCCCCAAAACCUAAUACCCGGGUAUUACCUUCAGGAAGCCCGAACACCCCAAAUAUUUUUUUUUCAUUUUUCAUUUUUUUAUUGGUCUAACUAACUCCAAAAGGUUGGAAAAGACUUCCUACAAAGGUUUUGAACACUGAUUUUAACCCUCACGCCAAAAACCUUAAACCUUACCCUAGCCCCAUAACCUAAUACCCGGGUAUUACCUUCAGGAAGCUUGAACACCCCAAAUAUAUUUUUUUUUCAUUUUACAUUUUUUUUUGGUGUUACCAACUCCAAAAGGUCUGAAACAUGUUCCUAAAAAGGUUUUGGACAGUGAUUUUAACCCUAACGCCAAAAACCUUAAACCUUACCCUAGCCCCAUAACCUCAUACCCGGGUAUUACCUUCAGGAAGCCCGAACACCCCAAAUAUUUUUUUUUCAUUUAUCUUUUUUUUUUUGUCUAACUAACUCCAAAAGGUUGGAAAAGAGUUCCUACAAAGGUUUUGGACAGUGAUUUUAACCCUAUCGCCAAAAACCUUAAAAGUUACCCUAGCCCCAAAACCUAAUACCCGGGUAUAACCUUCAGGAAGCCCGAAGACCCCAAACAAUUUUUUUUUAUUUUUCAUUUUUUGUGGUCUAACUAACUCCAAAAGGUUGGAAAAGAGUUCCUACAAAGGUUUUGGACAGUGGUUUUAACUCUAACGCCAAAAACCUUAAACCUUACCCUAGCCCCAUAACCUAAUACCCGGGUAUUACCUUCAGGAAGCCCGAAAAGCCCAAAUAUUGUUUUUUCAUUUUUCGUUUUUUUUUUCGGUCUAACUAACUCCAAAAGGAUGGUAAAGUGUUCCUACAAAGGUUUUGGACAGUGAUUUUUACCCUCACGCCGAAAAACCUUAAACCUUACCCUAGCCCCAUAACCUAUUACCUUCAGGAAGCCCGAAAAGCCCAAAUAUAUAUUUUUUAUUUUUCUUUUUGUUUUGGUCUAACUUGCUCUCAAAGGUUGGAAGAGUUCCUACAAAGGUUUUGGACAUUGAUUUUAACCCUAACGCCAAAAACCUUAAACAUUACCCUAGCCCAGAAACCUAGUAUUACCUUCAGGAAGCCCGAACACCCAAAAAAAAAUUUUUUUCAUUUUACAUUUUUUUUGGUGUAACCAACUCCAAAAGGUCUGAAACAUGUUCCUAAAAAGGUUUUGGACACUGAUUUUAACCCUAACGCCAAAAACCUUAAACCUUACCCUAGCCCCAUAACCUAAUACCCGGGUAUUACCUUCAGGAAGCCCGAAAAGCCCAAAUAUUGUUUUUUCAUUUUUCGUUUUUUUUUUCGGUCUAACUAACUCCAAAGGUUGGAAAAGAGUUCCUACAAAGGUUUUGGACAGUGAUUUUUACCCUCACGCCAAAAACCUUAAACCUUACCCUAGCCCCAUAACCUAUUACCUUCAGGAAGCCCGAAAAGCCCAAAUAUAUAUUUUUUAUUUUUCUUUUUUUUUGGUCUAACUUGCUCUCAAAGGUUGGAAAAGAGUUCCUACAAAGGUUUUGGACAUUGAUUUUAACCCUAACGCCAAAAACCUUAAACAUUACCCUAGCCCAGAAACCUAGUAUUACCUUCAGGAAGCCCGAACACCCAAAAAAAAAUUUUUUUCAUUUUACAUUUUUUUUGGUGUAACCAACUCCAAAAGGUCUGAAACAUGUUCCUAAAAAGGUUUUGGACAGUGAUUUUAACCCUAACGCCAAAAACCUUAAACCUUACCCUAGCCCCAUAACCUAAUACCCGGGUAUUACCUUCAGGAAGCCCGAACACCCCAAAUAUUUUUUUUUUCAUUUAUCUUUUUUUUUUUGUCUAACUAACUCCAAAAGGUUGGAAAAGACUUCCUACAAAGGUUUUGGACAGUGAUUUUAACCCUCACGCCAAAAACCUUAAACCUUAACCUAGCCCCAUAACCUAAUACCCGGGUAUUACCUUCAGGAAGCCCGAACACCCCAAAUAUAUAUUUUUUCUUUUUCUUUUUUUUUUGGUCAAACUAGCUCCAAAAGGUCUGAAACAUGUUCCUUAAAAAAUAUUGGACAGUGAUUUUAACCCUUACGCCAAAAACCUUAAACCUAAUCCUAGCCCCAUAACCUAAUACUUAAACCUGAAGGGUAUUACCUUCAGGAAGCCCGAACACCCCAAAUAUAUUUUUUUUCAUUUUACAUUUUUUUUGGUGUAACCAACUCCAAAAGGUCUGAAUCUUGUUCCUUAAAAGGUUUUGGACAGUGAUUUUAACCCUAACGCCAAAAACCUUAAACCUUUCCCUAGCCCCAAAACCUAAUACCUUCAGGAAGCCCGAAAAGCCCAAAUAUUUUUUUUUCUUUUUUCUUUUUUUUGGUCUAACUAACUCCAAAAGGUCUGAAACAUGUUCCUUAAAAAAUAUUGGACAGUGAUUUUAACCCUAACGCCAAAAAACUUAAACCUAAUCCUAGCCCCAAAACCUAAUACCCGGGUAUUACCUUCAGGAAGCCCAAACACCCCAAAUAUUUUUUUUUCAUUUUUCAUUUUUUUAUUGGUCUAACUAACUCCAAAAGGUUGGAAAAGAGUUCCUACAAAGGUUUUGGACAGUGAUUUUAACCCUUACGCCAAAAACCUUAAACCUUACCCUAGCCCCAUAACCUAAUACCCGGGUAUUACCUUCAGGAAGCCCUAACACCCCAAAUUUUUUUUUUUCAUUUUUCAUUUUUUUAUUGGUCUAACUAACUCCAAAAGGUUGGAAAAGACUUCCUACAAAGGUUUUGGACAGUGAUUUUAACCCUCACGCCAAAAACCUUAAACCUUUCCAAAGCCCCAUAACCUAAUACCCGGGUAUUACCUUCAGGAAGCCCAAAAACCCCAAAUAUUUGUUUUUCAAUUUUCGUUUUUUUUUUGGUCUAACUUACACCAAAAGGUUGGAAAAGAGGUCCUACAAAGGUUUUGGACAGUGAUUUUAACCCUCACGCCAAAAACCUUAAACCUUACCCUAGCACCAUAACCUAAUACCCGGGUAUUACCUUCAGGAAGCCCGAACACCCCAAAUAUUUUUUUUUUUCAUUUUACAUUUUUUUUUGGUGUAACCAACUCCAAAAGGUCUUAAACAUGUUCCUAAAAAGGUUUUGGACACUGAUUUUAACCCUAACGCCAAAAACCUUAAACCUUACCCUAGCCCCAUAACCUAAUACCCGGGUAUUACCUUCAGGAAACCCGAACACCCCAAAUAUUUUUUUUUCUUUUUUUUUGUCUAACUAACUCCCAAAGGUCUGAAACAUGUUCCUUAAAAAAUAUUGGACAGUGAUUUUAACCCUAACGCCAAAAACCUUAAACCUUACCCUAGCCCCAUAACCUAAUACCCGGGUAUUACCUUCAGGAAGCCCGAAAAGCCCAAAUAUUGUUUUUUCAUUUUUCGUUUUUUUUUUGGUCUAACUAAUUCCAAAAGGAUGGUAAAGUGUUCCUACAAAGGUUUUGGACAGUGAUUUUUACCCUCACGCCAAAAACCUUAAACCUUACCCUAGCCCCAUAACCUAUUACCUUCAGGAAGCCCGAAAAGCCCAAAUAUAUAUUUUUUAUUUUUCUUUUUGUUUUGGUCUAACUUGCUCUCAAAGGUUGGAAGAGUUCCUACAAAGGUUUUGGACAUUGAUUUUAACCCUAACGCCAAAAACCUUAAACAUUACCCUAGCCCAGAAACCUAGUAUUACCUUCAGGAAGCCCGAACACCCAAAAAAAAUUUUUUUUCAUUUUACAUUUUUUUUGGUGUAACCAACUCUAAAAGGUCUGAAACAUGUUCCUAAAAAGGUUUUGGACAGUGAUUUUAACCCUUACGCCAAAAACCUUAAACCUUACCCUAGCCCCAUAACCUAAUACCCGGGUAUUACCUUCAGGAAGCCCGAACACCCCAAAUAUUUUUUUGUUUUUUUAUUUUCUUUUUUUGUCUAACUAACUCCAAAAGGUUGGAAAAGACUUCCUACAAAGGUUUUGGACAGUGAUUUUAACCCUCACGCCAAAAACCUUAAACCUUAACCUAGCCCCAUAACCUAAUACCCGGGUAUUACCUUCAGGAAGCCCGAACACCCCAAAUAUAUAUUUUUUCUUUUUCUUUUUUUUUUUGGUCAAACUAGCUCCAAAAGGUCUGAAACAUGUUCCUUAAAAAAUAUUGGACAGUGAUUUUAACCCUCACGCCAAAAACCUUAAACCUAAUCCUAGCCCCAUAACCUAAUACUUAAACCUGAAGGGUAUUACCUUCAGGAAGCCCGAACACCCCAAAUAUAUUUUUUUUCAUUUUACAUUUUUUUUGGUGUAACCAACUCCAAAAGGUCUGAAUCUUGUUCCUUAAAAGGUUUUGGACAGUGAUUUUAACCCUAACGCCAAAAACCUUAAACCUUUCCCUAGCCCCAAAACCUAAUACCUUCAGGAAGCCCGAAAAGC
rnacentral:lncRNA from 1 species